ACAUCUCUAAACAUAGUAGGCCAGUAGAAACCACUUUGCAAGAUCUUGACAAUGGUUUUUCAAGAAGAAAAAUGCCCACCGCACGCUUGUGAAUGACAAAACUCAAUGACACUCAUCACCUCAUCGUCGGGAACGCACAAAGGAUCACUUGAUCGGGACAAUAUUUGAAUAGAUAUGGAUCCUCCCAACUAAAAUACCUCACAUGUCUGAAAAUUUUCUUCUUAUCAAUGCUAGACCAAUGUGAGGGAAUCUUACCGGUAGCUAAAUAGUUAGCUAUAUCGGCAUACCAAGGGGUGGUCAUGAACUGUGUCAUAGGAUGGGCAUAGAAGAGUUGCUCAUCCGGGAAGUGUUCAUUGAUUGGAAGGUGGUCUUGGGCAUCCCCAUCAGUAGAGAGCCUCGAGAGAUGGUCAACAACAACAUUUUCGACCCCUUUCUUAUUUCUUAUGUCUUAUUUCUAUGUGAAAUUCUUGAAGUAAAAGAACCCACCGGAUAAGUCAUGGUUUUGCAUCGAGCUUACUCAACAAGUACAUUAGUGCAGAGUGAUCGGUGUAGAUGAUAACCAACGAUCAACGAUUCGAUCAAGUAUGACCUAAAUUUGUCUAAUGCAAAAACCACGGCGAGAAGCUCUUUCUCGAUUGUGGUAUAGUUCAGUUGGUCUUCAUUAAGGGUCUUGCUUGCAUAGUAAAUCACAUGAGGUUUCUUGUCUACCCUUUGACCUAAAAUAGCCCCCACUACAUAAUCGCUAGCAUCACACAUCAACUCGAAAGUUAAUGACCAAUCGGGUGAUCUAAUAAUAGGUGUAGUGGUUGGUUGUUAAAGUCCCUUUAGUUUGUCAACGCCUCUGCAUUGAGGGUCUAACAAAUGAAAACCUCCAAUGGGAGUAGAUGGCACAAAGGUCUAGAAAUAGCCACUAAAAACCUUCAAGAAUCGCCGAUAGAAUCUAGCAUGCCCUAGAAAGACCAAAUAACGGACACUCGGUGGGGGGCGGUAGGUAGCGGGUUAGAGAGAGAGAGGCGUUUUGGAUUAGUUCAACUUUGGCUUGAUCAACCCUUUAUCCCCUUUCAGAUAAUAUAUGCCCCAAAAAUAUACAUUGUUCACCAUGAAGUGACACUUUUCUCAAUUGAGCACUAGAUUGCUCUCCUCGCACUCUCUAAAACUUUCUCCAAAUGCUCCAACAUGCUCAAAAGUGGCCCCACAUGGAGCAUGGUAGAGAGGUUUGAGUUUUUUGAUCCAUAAAAAUUUUUAGGAUCUUCUCAACCAUGUCAUGUGGAAGAUAGUGUAGCACGUACUUGGUGGUUUUGUUUAGGAUACACCUUUAAGGUGGUCGGUGCAUUGCAUAGCCAAGGUAUGACAUUCCUCUUUAUAUGAUACGUGCCAAAGUGGGCACAUGAAAAAGUAGUCUUGUUCUUGGUUUUUAAUGCCAACUUCAAUUUGGUUAUAGCCGGAAUAACCAUCUAGGAAAAGAAAUAGUAUAGGCUCGGCCCGUGACUCGUUCUAGGACUGGUCAAGAUAGAAGUGGGAAAGGGUUUUCCUAGUCAAUGGCAUUGAGUCAGGUAGUCUAUGCACAUUCAACCAACUAGUUUGGAUCCUUAGUUGACUAGUUCAUUUAGCUCAUUUUUUACUACCGUGACUCCGACUUUUUCGGGACAACUUGGGUUGGACUACACUUAAAGUUAGAGAUGGGUCAAAUACUCACAUCGAGAAGCUUUAGUACCUCUCUGGAAAAUCUUUUUCAUGUUGGGCUUCUUAAUGAGUCUUUGCAUUUGACGCCACUGGUUGCGAUCUUCCUCAAGAUAGGAUACAAUGUGUACACAUGAUGGGGACUAAUACCAUGUAGGUUUACUAGAGGUCCAACCUAAGGCAUUGAGUGACUCUUCAAACUUUCAACACAGGAUUACUCUUGGCCUUCAGACAGGCUAGAAGAAAUGACCACCAGUAGGAUUCACCCAUACCUAAAAAUUGCAUAUUUUAAAGUAGAUGGUAAGGGCUUCCUCCGGGAAGGUUGAUGAAUUUGCUCAGACGGAACGGCUUGAUGGCACUCAGGGUAAGGAGUUCAAAUGUGGGGGUCCAAGGUCUCACGUGCAACAAAGCUACUCCCUUCCCCAAUUUUUGAUAGGUCGGUAACUUAUACACUCAUGACUCCCAAUUGCGUCAUUAGGCUCCAACUCCAUACUAGAGCCCUCUCAAUUGGGUCCUCCAAUAAACUCUCGCGUUCCAUAUGAUCCUGGACAAUGGAUUCAAUGAAAUCUACUUCUUCUACAUGGUUUUUAAAAUUCCAUUUUGUUUACCCACCAUAAAAAUGUUAAUCUCUAAGGUCCAUGUUUUCAAAUGAAAGCUUAAGCAACCAAUUCCUACAAUGAAUGAUUUAGGCAGUAGCCAAGAAAGGUCAUCCCAAAAUGAUAGGAAUAUGAUGCUUAGAGGACUUUUCCCAUUCGGUGGGUAUCUAACACAAUGAAAUCUACGGAGGUUAGUAGCACUUUGUCCACUUGACGAGAGACAUCCUCAAUAAUUUCCAUUGUGUGAUCUUAAGUAGAAUGAUCGGCAAUUCCAAUGUAUCGAGUGCGGUCUUAAUCUCUAUAAACCUAGUUCUUUAUAAUUGAAUACGGAAGAAGAUUCAUACUAGAACUUAGGUCAGAAAAGUGUGAUCAAUUCCAUGGCCUCCUAUGGUACACGAAAUAGAGGACAUCUAGGCGGUCUUAUAUUUCGGCGUGGCGUCUUGCAUUGAGAGGAUGCACUCGGCUCUCAUUCAUCAUAGUAGUCUCAUCUAAACAUGCAACGUUCUUUUCACAAGUACACAAGGCCUGUAAAAAACUUGGCAUAGGAAGGGAUUUUGUGAUAACAUCUACAAAUAGAAAUUUGACUUGAACUAUUUGCAUAUGUCAUAAAUCUAAGAAUUCAGUGACCUCUCUUAGGUUUAGCCAUCUCUGGGAACAGGGUAUGUUUCAAAUUUUCAUACCCUCAUCUCAGAUGCACAAUAGCUUUUUGAAUGCAUUAGAAUUUUUCUUGUCUCUGUCUUUUUUCUUCACUAUCUUUAUUUUUACCCUCUCUCUUCUGUUUGAUUGCCCCAACACCAGAAAAAUAUCAUCCUUUUUUGUCUUGAUGCUUUCUUUAGGCCGCAGUGAUGCUUUGUCUAUUUGUUUUUUGCCUCCUAAGGGUAGUGAUGGCAUGGCUUGUUCAUGUGUUGUGUCGACAAGUUUAUGUUUUUUUGUUUGGGUUCGGUUGGGGUUGAGUCGGAAACCGCCCUUGGUUUGUUGAGUCAUUAACAUCUUGUAGAUGUUCUUUGACUAUCGUGUGGUUCCCCUUAUGCUUGCUCAAGAUUAUUGACCCUAUUGUGAGUGCUCUUAGUCAUUGGCCGUUUGGUUGACCUCAUUAUUCCUCCAAUGAUGAGUUGGUAUGUAGCCAGUCUAUGUGGUAUAGGUAUAGUCUCGGUAGUGUGGGAUAGUCAUUUGAUGACCUUGGAGGUGUUGUGGGGGUUGUUAGAACUGUUGAGGGUCUUGUUUCCACCCAAAGUUAGGGUAAUUCUUCUAACUCGGAUUGUAUGUAUUGGAAUAGGGAUUGUUCCCACUCCUUUGAUUUUUUUUUGGUACCCCCCUUUAGAAUUGACCAACAACAUUUACUUGGCCAUUAAAUGCUUCCCUAACACCUGGUUAUAACUGGAAUGAUGCCCGUUUAGUUGUCAUGGUCUUGUGUGGAACAAACAGUCAAAUUGAGGGUAUUGUGUCAAACCAGUAACAAAAGUGGUGGCCUUGGAGGUUUCCAAAGCCUCCAACUUGCGUGUGAGUGACGUGACAUUAGAUUGUAGGUCUUCUAACUCCCCUAAUUGGUAUUUGCCUCCAACUUGUGGUUUUGUUCAUGAAACUUUGAGCCCCCAUGAAAUUUGGAGUCCCUACACUAGCCCAAUCUUUUGCCAUGUUGGUAUUGACCCAAUCUCUAGUUAAAUUGGCUAGAUAGUCCAAGAAUUUGAUGCUCAAUGGGGUUUGUGGGGUACGUUCAUGCGCACAUGGAUCUACGACAUCUUCAAUUAAGAAGUCAAUGAAAAGUAGAAUGUGUUUAUCGUGUGCCAUUCGGGAAAACCAUGGUGUGGAUAUGCAAACAAUAGGUCCUUGAACCUCUCCCAAUACUGAAAGAAAGUUUCACCAUUGUUCGGUGCGAAUUGAGAAAUGGCACGUCUUAGUGCCUCUGUGCGAUUUUCGGGAAAGAAUUUUUUUAAAAACUCUCCCUGGUUUGUGUAUGCCAUGGAAUGUAAGGACAUAGGCCUUAGUGAAUUGAACCACACUAGCCUUGUCCUUAGAGUUAAUGGAAAGAGUUUAAGAGUAAAAUCCUCCACGGACUGUGUUUAUUUGAAAAGAGGCCGCAUUCGACCUCAAAUUGUGAUGUGAGAAAUGUUUGUUCUGAGUCUAAAAGCCAUGAAAUUGGGUAAAGGCUGUAGCAUUCCGAUUUAACGUUGAGUGUGGCUUGAUUGUGCGGGAAUGACAUGGAGAUGUGGGGUGUUUGUCAGGGGUGGAGGAGUUCCAUGUAUUCCCUCAUUGUAACGGAGUUGGGCAUCGGCUUCCUCCCCACAUUAUUUUCUUCCCCUUUCCAUUGUUCUCCAUUUCCUCCCAUUGUUUCAGCGUUUUCAUUUCCCAGGAGAUUGUUAGGUUUUCCAUGGUAUAGGUUCCCAAGUCAACAACCAAGGGAAAUCAAGCAAAUCUAUUGGGUUUCGACAGGUGGAAUGGAGUCAACAAAGUAGGUGAAGGUUACGCAAAGGUAAACUCUGACAUGACGAUUGUGUGAUCUCUAAAGAAAUUGGACAUAUUAUGCAAUGCAACACAUAAAGCAUCAAUCCUUUCGAACCUCCACUCUCCACAGUAAUAAUACUCCGUUGCACAGAAUUGUAAAAGCAACCCAUUCAAUCAAUCCUCCAAUCUCCACAUAACUAGGCAUAAUCACCAAUAACAUUUAGCACAUAACCUAGCCGCCUCUAGUUCCACCUCCUAACUACCAUAUGCCUAGACCCAUAAAAAGUAAGAAAAAGCAAAUAAAAUUCUAAAAUUCUAACACAAAAAGAUGGAACGAAAUCACCAAAUGGCCUUAGCCAACGAUUUCUCUAUUGUUGUAGAUUGAUCAUGAAGCAAUCCGAUGAAACUCGCGUUGACUAAGGGUCGUGUUCAAGCAUGCCUCUUGUUGUCACUUGUGCGAAAGCAAAGCUCCUUUCCCCGGGCACGGCAACCAAAAACUUGACUCACGUCACCGUGUACUCCUUGUAGAUGAUCCAAGUGAAGGCACGACGGAGGUAUCUCUCACAGUAACGAUGUUUAUAUCACAGGGAGCUAUGUGCACAAGAACAUAAGCACUAGAACACUAUUCUCAAUCGCUCACAAAUCUCGAACCAACUGCUUCUAAAAUGAAAAUAUAAAAUUGUUUGUUUUGAGAAUGAUUUGUUAUCUAAACUAGCUAAAAAGCUAAAUGAAGGAACAUGAACUAAAUUGACUUUAAAUUGAUGAGAGAAAAUCUUGGGAUUGAUCGUUCCAACCAAUUUUGGUUCUCAAAAUUCCAAAGGAAAUGAUUUUAUAACUUAAAUCCUUUGACUUUGUCGAUAGUCGCGGAAUCAGAAGAUUAAAUAAUAAAAACACAUAUUCUUUCAAGAAGUUCAAUUUUUAGAUUAAAACUUAUUUUUAGAUUGAAAAAGAAUUACCACUUAUUCGUGCAAAGCCUAUACUGAAUGAGAAUUUAUGCAUAAACGUUACCAAAUAUGGAAAAACUUCAGGUUUUCAAUGAUACCUAGAACAAAGAAUUAAAAGAAAGAUAGAACUAAACAUUUGCACUUUAAAACCGAAAUCUCACCUCCUUUGUUCAUCCAAGAGUCUCAAUCAGUCUUUUCAACUAACCCCAAGAUGAAAGAAGUUAGCUACUCAUCUUCAUUAAAGAACAAGCUAAAACUAUUGAAAAAGAAGCCUAAAAAAAUUUGUGAAAAGUGUAAGGAAAACAAAAAGAAAAUUUCGUAUUGAAUACAAGAAAAAAGAUGGAAAAACUUGUAAUAAACUUCAAUUACAAUUGAUUACAACUAGAGAAGUGAAAAAUUUACUAAGAUCCAAUGAUUCUAAGCUUAGAACUUAUAAAAAGCGGCCUGUUGUAUGUAUGUAAUAAAACUCUGAUAAAACAAAAAUUUACGAUAAAGGUCGUAUUUAUAGGCCCCAUGAUGAUUGCGAGGCCCUAGAAAGUUCAGCCGAAAUUUGCCCGGCAUUGGAAAGCCCGGUCAUUUUUUCCAACUAUUGGAAACGUGGUAUUGGAAUGCUUUGGCUAUAAAAAUAGAAAUCAUCUCUCAGGAUGUUGGAACGCCACGUUGGAAUGCCGACCAAAAAACUUGCUCCCUUUAUUCUUGAUUUUGAGGCCCUUCGAAGCCAAUUGGCUGACGCAAGUUAGACCGCAAAACAUUUGUAACUUGACGAGAUCUUGCAACGUGUAACUUUUUGUAAAAUCAGCUCAAUUGGACUUCUGCCAGCAAAUAUAUGGACCCUUUUCGCGCGAUUUGCCGAUAGAAUUUCUCAAUUUGCCAUACCCGUAAAUCCCGGAUCAUCAUAAAGCUCUAAAUAUAAUCUUUUUAGCAUUAAUAACCUGAGAAAAUAACUAAUUCAUGAUUAUUCAUAAUGUACAACUAAAAUAAUAUAAUUACACAUAUUCUAAGCCUAACAGAAAGCAUAUUAAAGGCCUAUAAUUACACUUUUAUAGUGUAAUCAAACCACCGUAUUGGUGCUUGCCACUUUUCGGUGUAUGUUUUAUCUAUCUUAAUUCAGUUCUCAAGCGUGGAACCUACCAGUGCCAGCAUAUACUCGGAAGUCCGAGAUUGUAUUCACAGAGAGUGUUGCAAGAAUUGAGUUAUUUUGUUGGUGUUGUAUGUAAGUAAUGAAAUAAAAUGUAAAAUAUAUUUUUUGUGAUUUUUAGAAGAUUUUUAAAAAUAAAAAGUAAGCUAUAAAUGUAAAGAAAUGGCAUGAUCUAAAAACUGAUUUAUUCGUUCAUUAGAUUUCUAGGUCUUCCUCUCUUUUUUACUCAACAAAUUUUCAAGGUAAAAUGAAUUUGAUGGAAAAGUUUUUGAAAAUGAAUACGGUGUAUCUAAAAAUAUGUUUAAAAAUUGACAAUAAUUUUCAUUACAGUUUCAAACCGGUUAGAAUGCAAUUGAUCUAAGUCUUAGUUAUAACCAGGGGGAUCUUGUAUAACAUAAUCUUAGAUUUAUACAAUUCAAGUUUUGAGCUUUGUGUAAUAUUGCAAUUUAAAACAACCUUUUAAGUUUGUGCAGGAAGAAAGAAACUGUUUAUCUACGAUUGAAUUAAGACUUGUAUUUAGACCCAACCAUGUUAUUUAGCCAUCAUAUUGAUUUUUAACAUUAAACAUGUGUUUUGUAUUGUAAAAGUUUAUAAAUUGAAUUACUGACAAUUAAAUAAAGCAUAAGUAAGAGAUAACCCGCCAUCCAGGCGCGGACAAUUAAAAUUUAACGUAAUUGAAUAACAGAAUAUAUUGAAUUGA
rnacentral:lncRNA from 1 species